rnacentral:rRNA from 1 species
GACGAACGCUGGCGGCGUGCUUAACACAUGCAAGUCGAACGGAAAGGCCCUGCUUUUGUGGGGUGCUCGAGUGGCGAACGGGUGAGUAACACGUGAGUAACCUGCCCUUGACUUUGGGAUAACUUCAGGAAACUGGGGCUACUACCGGAUAGGAGAUCCUGCUGCAUGGUGGGGGUUGGAAAGUUUCGGCGGUUGGGGAUGGACUCGCGGCUUAUGAGCUUGUUGGUGGGGUAGUGGCUUACCAAGGCUGUGACGGGUAGCCGGCCUGGGAGGGUGACCGGCCACAUUGGGACUGAGAGACGGCCCAGACUCCUACGGGAGGCAGCAGGGGGGAAUAUGGCACAAUGGGCGGAAGCCUGAUGCAGCAACGCCGCGUGCGUGAUGACGGCCUUCGGGUUGUAAACCGCUUUCGCCUGUGACGAAGCGUGAGUGACGGUAAUGGGUAAAGAAGCACCGGCUAACUACGUG